rnacentral:rRNA from 1 species
GAUGAACGCUGGCGGCGUGCCUAAUACAUGCAAGUCGAGCGAACAGACGAGGAGCUUGCUCCUCUGACGUUAGCGGCGGACGGGUGAGUAACACGUGGAUAACCUACCUAUAAGACUGGGAUAACUUCGGGAAACCGGAGCUAAUACCGGAUAAUAUAUUGAACCGCAUGGUUCAAUAGUGAAAGACGGUUUUGCUGUCACUUAUAGAUGGAUCCGCGCCGCAUUAGCUAGUUGGUAAGGUAACCGCUUACCAAGGCAACGAUGCGUAGCCGACCUGAGAGGGUGAUCGGCCACACUGGAACUGAGACACGGUCCAGACUCCUACGGGAGGCAGCAGUAGGGAAUCUUCCGCAAUGGGCGAAAGCCUGACGGAGCAACGCCGCGUGAGUGAUGAAGGUCUUCGGAUCGUAAAACUCUGUUAUUAGGGAAGAACAAAUGUGUAAGUAACUAUGCACGUCUUGACGGUACCUAAUCAGAAAGCCACGGCUAACUACGUG